rnacentral:rRNA from 1 species
GUAGGUGGCAAGCGUUGUCCGGAAUUAUUGGGCGUAAAGCGCGCGCAGGCGGUCCUUUAAGUCUGAUGUGAAAGCCCACGGCUCAACCGUGGAGGGUCAUUGGAAACUGGGGGACUUGAGUACAGAAGAGGAAAGCGGAAUUCCAAGUGUAGCGGUGAAAUGCGUAGAGAUUUGGAGGAACACCAGUGGCGAAGGCGGCUUUCUGGUCUGUAACUGACGCUGAGGCGCGAAAGCGUGGGGAGCAAACAGGAUUAGAUACCCUGGUAGUCCACGCCGUAAACGAUGAGUGCUAAGUGUUAGGGGGUUUCCCGCCCCCUUAGUGCUGCAGCUAACGCAUUAAGCACUCCGCCUGGGGGAGUACGGCCCGCAAGGCUG